UCCCAUGCUUUUCCCAUACAGUAUUCAGUUGGAGAAAUUAAGUGCAUACAAACGAUGGACAUUGAAUGACAGGGGCAUUAGUGCAAGCGAUGUAUAUGCAGCUGUAGAACGUCCCUCUAUUUUUCGCUCAAGGUAUGGGUGGUUCUCCGAACUUCACCCCAAAACAGUUGCAGUACCUUCUAGAUCUACUCACUUGGGGGAUGGCUUUGAGGCUGAAGAGAAAGGUUGCAGUACAAUUUUAGAGCUUGCAGCUAUUAGAAAGGAAGAAGUUUUAGAUUCCAAGCCAACCGGUUGCAGAUAUUGAUGGGUAGGGAGAGCCUAGACUUAGAGGCUCAUAUUUGAAGGAUUUUGAGAAAGCAAAAAUAUAUCGGCUUCAUAAGGUUUGUAGAGGUAGAUUGUAAUCCUUCCUGAAUAACUAUAUUAAAAUCUACAAGAUUGUAUAAGGUUGCACUCAACUGAAUUUAUUUGUGUGAGAUGAACAUGUCUAAAAUCCUCUUUAAUACAA